GAGUAUGCUGCGGCCAGUGUUGUGUUAGUGCCGCGCAGGAACGACCAAAAAGUCGUUCGCUUCCGAUGAUGAUCAGGUGAAAGUUAUUCACAUACCUGUUGACCACUGGCCGAAGAGCUCCUGGUAUGCUCCUGCUUCUGCCGUAGCCAAAACGGAUCUAUUUCAUAGAGUAGUGACAGAUAACCAUUUACCACAACCGAGCUCCAGUAUGUAUCAAAAUAACGGCUAGUGGCCAUAGCUUAGUGGAGGAUUUGUUCCACUGACUGUCGGCGUUACUAAUAGUAUUCGGAAAACAUCAAUGGUGGACAUUCUGAACGGGGCAGCACGUUUGUCUAAAGAAGCGAACAUGAAUUAUGCGGUAAAUUAAUCACCUAAAUUUGUGCGGGGCGCACUUUUUGAGUAAUGGGAAACACUUGUUGCAUUUAUUUUUUUCGUUUCGUCUUAGAGUAAAAAGUCAUGUACACUUUGCACAAACCGGGUACCCAUGAGGUACCGAAACCUCUAAAUGACCUGUUGCAAGUUGCAUUGCGUUACAGAAACUGAUGUAUAUACAAUUAAUUUAUGUUGGUAUUAACACAUGUGAGUCGGUUUCGGAUAAGUUUUUAUUUUUAUCAGUACUCAACAAGAAGCCAAACUGAAAGAAUAUCUAUGAGUGAAAAUGUUAGUAGAAAAGGAGGAAGGGGGUGUAAAAUCAGGGCUUUGAACACUUUGCUUGACAUUGCUGAAUGAAAGACCUGUAUUAGAGAGAAACUAGAUGCGUGAGGGUAGAAACAAGUUCCCUUGCUUCGUAAAUUGCCUGUGCUCUCAGUCUCAGUUAACACAUGAACUAAGCAAUUCAUGGCAAUGGGUUCGCUCUCGUUAGUACUGUACGAGAAUGAAGAACUUUGCUUCACGGCGUGCUACAAGAAGCGAAGCAAGGUCAUACAGGUAAUGUUUAUGGUGAUUUUUUUUCAGUGUAGGUUUACAGAAAUUCAUUUUUGAAACUAAUGUUUGCACUCUAACACCGAAUUUGAUCACAU